rnacentral:lncRNA from 1 species
AUGGGGGCAGUAGGUGGAUCGUUUUUAGCAGCGCGCACGCACGGAGCAGACAGCUUGGGCAUGUUCCAAAACACUUCCCACGCCCCCAGGCUGAAUUUUAAGAAGCUGGGGCAUCUGCACGUUCAAAACGCUACGGGGUGGAAGGGAAAAAAGGAAAAAAAUCCCCAAGGCAGGCAGAGCAGCCAGCGCGUGGAAGGGGCAGGCAGAACCCAAAGGCUGAUGUCUUGCUGCGGAAGGGAGUUUGUUGCAAAGGCUGAGCAGCUCCAAGCCGCUCUCUGGAGGGGCAGAGCACAGGUUCCUUGUCUCACCAGCAGGUCCUUGUAGGAUUUCAGCUCUGGGCUGCGUGUCUGGGGCUGAGCCAGGUGCCCCCUGCUCCGUGCUGGGUCCCAUGAGCCGGGCAGGACCCCCCUGUCCCUCGCGCCCGGGGCCGCAGCGCCCGGCUCUGCCCCCGCUGCUCGGGAGCGCCCGCCAGCCCCCAGAGCGGAGCCGCAGAGAGCUGCUGCCACGGUGAGUCCUGCCUUCUCCUUCCCCUUCCUUCCUUCCCCUUCCUUCCUUCCCCUUCCUUCCUUCCCCUUCCUUCCUUCCCCUUCCUUCCUUCUCCUUCCUUCCUUCCCCU